rnacentral:rRNA from 1 species
CCACAAGCGGUGGAUCAUGUUGUUUAAUUCGAUGAUACGCGAAGAACCUUACCAGGUCUUGACAUCCCAUGCAAAGCUAUAGAGAUAUAGUGGAGGUUAUCAUGGAGACAGGUGGUGCAUGGUUGUCGUCAGCUCGUGUCGUGAGAUGUUGGGUUAAGUCCCGCAACGAGCGCAACCCUUAUUGCUAGUUACCAUCAUUAAGUUGGGGACUCUAGCGAGACUGCCAGUGAUAAACUGGAGGAAGGUGGGGAUGACGUCAAAUCAUCAUGCCCCUUAUGACCUGGGCUACAAACGUGAUACAAUGGCUGAAACAAAGGGCAGCGAAGCAGUGAUGUGAAGCGAAACCCAAAAAAGCAGUCUCAGUUCGGAUUGAAGUCUGCAACUCGACUUCAUGAAGUCGGAAUCGCUAGUAAUCGCGAAUCAGAACGUCGCGGUGAAUACGUUCUCGGGGUUU